UACGUAGGGGGCAAGCGUUGUCCGGAUUCACUGGGCGUAAAGAGCGCGUAGGCGGCCAGGUAGGUCCGUUGUGAAAACUCGAGGCUCAACCUCGAGACGCCGGUGGAAACCAUCUAGCUAGAGUCCGGAAGAGGAGAGUGGAAUUCCUGGUGUAGCGGUGAAAUGCGCAGAUAUCAGGAAGAACACCCGUGGCGAAGGCGGCUCUCUGGGACGUGACUGACGCUGAGACGCGAAAGCGUGGGGAGCGAACAGG
rnacentral:rRNA from 1 species